AGGUUAUUUUUACUGCCCUUGAAAUGAGCAAAAGUCACAUACAUGCUAUAAAACAAUUGGAGGGAGAAGACCUUAACCAAGUUCUUGGUAAUGAUAAUGUUGUUGAAACCUCUUCUAUAUCCUACACUAGACCGUAUAACAUAUUGAAAGCAGCAGACAGAUCUGAAAUGUACGAGCCAUUACUACGGUUAGCAUGUUAUCAACAUCAAAUCACAUGAUAGUCACAUGAUUAUCUAUACAUUGACUGAGAUUUGGUACAUGUAAAAUUCAUAAAGGGAUUACAUGGAUAACAAGACUGUCUGUACUUUGCCUGAGAUUUCGGACAUGUAUAAGUCAUGAAGGGAUAACAUAACUGUCUGUACCUUGCUUGAAAAUUUUGAAAUGUAAAAGUCAUGAAGAGUCAUUUCUUAGCUGUAACAGUUGAAGGCAUGGUAAGGGAGAAAAUAAGCUUUAAUGAACUUUUAUUAAUGAAGUCUGAUUAAAAAGGAGAUGAAAUGCUGUUAUAUAUAAUUAACUUUUAAAGAAGGAUCGCUUUAAAAGCCUGCAUUUUGAAUAUGCUUUUUGUCCUGGAGAGAAGGAUUUUUUUUGCUUUAUAGAACAUUUCUUAGGAACAUUUCAGAGCAUAGAAAUAUAGCUAGAAGUAAAAAAAAUACUGUUUAUUUAAGAUAUAUAUAAACAAUGUAAUUAAUGUCUUUUUAGUCUGGCCUCUGAUAAAAGUGGCAAAAUAUGAGACAUUGAAAUUA
rnacentral:lncRNA from 1 species